GAAUCAUGAACCACAAAACAAUCUCAGAUUAGCAUGAAGGCCGGAAACUUAAUAUCAUAAACCUCCCAUAUGACCUCCCCUCAUCCCAGAAUGAAGACAGACGCUCACCAGUCACUCUCUGCCAUCAUGAGUCUUCAAAUGCAGUUAUAUUUUUUGUUUCUUAUUUACCUUUUAUGUAAUGUGGAUGGAAAUGUGGAACUGCAACAGAAAAGCUCAUUGAUCAAAUCUGUGGACAAGACAGUUGUUAUAGACUGUAAUUAUCCAUCAGACUGCAGUGGCUACAUUCACUGGUAUCAACUAAAGGAGGAAAACCCCUUAAGAAGAAUAUUAUAUUCAUCAAUUUCAGGUGGAGCCACAAACAAUGAUGCUGGUUUUGAAUCAUUUAAAAUAGAUAGGAAACCGUCAAAUUUGGCUCUGAAAAUACCUGAACUGAAAGAAGAGCACUCAGCGGUGUAUUACUGUGCCUGCUGGGUCUCAGGCGGAGACAAGAAAGUCUUUGGUUCGGGUACUCGACUUUAUGUGACAGGUCCAGGAAACACGGUUGAGUCACCAAAGGUGUCUGGAUACCUACCGUCAAAGAAAUACAGUGACAAACAUGGCAAACAGACAAUGUUAUGCCAUGCAAGUGGCACGGUUCCUUACUUGGUGAAAUUCACAUGGGCAAAAAAGAGCGAAACAGAAGAAUGGACGGCUGUACCAAAGGAAGAUGUUGUGGAACAGAGUUACAAAGAUAAAAAAAUUGUGACAAGUAUGAUGAUUGUAGAUAAAAACACGGCCGAAAACAACAGCUACCAAUGCACUGUUACCAUUGACGGAAUCACUGAGAACCCCCAAAUUCUUGAAAUGAAGAGAGAAGACAUUAAAACAGCAAAGGGACCUAGCCCAACAUGUCCACCCGACUCUGAGGAUUUGGAUGGAUUUUUUUAA
rnacentral:lncRNA from 1 species